rnacentral:rRNA from 1 species
GAGCUCCUACGGGGGGCAGCAGUGAGGAAUAUUGGUCAAUGGGCGGGAGCCUGAACCAGCCACGUCGCGUGAGGGAUGACGGCCCUAUGGGUUGUAAACCUAUUUUGCCGGGGAGCAAGCGUGCGUUCGUGAACGCGCGUCGAGAGUACCCGGAGAAAAAGCAUCGGCUAACUCCGUGCCAGCAGCCGCGGUAAUACGGAGGAUGCGAGCGUUAUCCGGAUUUAUUGGGUUUAAAGGGUGCGUAGGCGGGAUGCCAAGUCAGCGGUAAAAAUGCGGUGCUCAACGCCGUCGAGCCGUUGAAACUG